rnacentral:rRNA from 1 species
UGUGCCGCCCUGAAGGGCGUAUGGUGGAUGCCUUGGCAGACAGUACCGAUGAAGGACGUUUGAGGAUGCGAUAAGCCUCGGGGAGCCUCCAACAUGGCUUCGAUCCGAGGAUUUCCGAAUGGGGCAACCCGCCGGCCGUCAUGGGCCGGCACGGAACCUUGUUGUUCCGGGGGUACGCAGGGAAGUGAAACAUCUCAGUACCUGCAGGAAGGGAUACUCCGUGAGUAGUGGCGAGCGAAAGCGGAUCAGACCAAACCAUGGGCGCGUGAUACCCGUCGGGGGUUGCGUCCGUGGUGUUGCGGGAGCGUGUGUCCCGGUUCCGACGGACCGGGCGGGAGUCAUAAAACGGCUUGCCAGGGGAACAGGCUUGAAGGCCUGGCCGCAGAGGGUGCCAGCCCCGUACCUGGAAGCUUGCCGUCUUCCGAUCACGUGUCCCAAGUAGCGCGGGCCUCGUGGAAUCCCGUGUGAAUCGGCCCCGACCGUGGGGUAAGUCUAAGCAUACCUGUCUGACCGAUAGCGUACCAGUACCGUGAGGGAAAGGUGAAAAGCACCCCGGGAGGGGAGUGAAAGAGUUCCUGAAACCGUGCGCCUACAAUCCGUCGGAGCCUCCUCAAGUGGGGUGACGGCGUGCCUAUCGAAAAAUGAGUCUGCGAGUCAGUGGUGCGUGGCGAGGCUAACCCGUCGUGGGGGAGCCGUAGCGAAGGCGAGUCUCAAAAGGCGUUUUGAGUCGCGUGCCCUGGACCCGAAGCGGGAUGAUCUAGCCCUGGGCAGGUUGAAGCGCGGGUAAGACCGCGUGGAGGACCGAACCCACCUGGGUUGAAAACCGGGGGGAUGACCUGGGGCUAGGGGUGAAAGGCCAAUCAAAUUCCGUGAUAGCUGGUUCUCUCCGAAAUGCAUUUAGGUGCAGCGUCGGUUGAUUGCAUCGCGGGGGUAGAGCUACUGGAUGCUUGCGGGCCCGUAUGGGGUACCAACAGCAGCCAAACUCCGAAUACCGUUGAUGUGUAUUCCGGCAGUGAGUCGGCGGGGGAUAAGCUCCGUCGUCGAGAGGGAGACAGCCCAGAUCGUCGUCUAAGGUCCCGAAGCGUGUGCUAAGUGGGAAAGGAUGUGGAGUCGCAUAGACAGCCAGGAGGUUGGCUCAGAAGCAGCCAUCCUUGAAAGAGUGCGUAACAGCUCACUGGUCUAGUGGUUCCGCGCCGACAAUGUAGCGGGGCUCAAGCACACCACCGAAGACGCGGCA